GAGAAAGGUAUUGUGAGAAGAGAAGUGGUGGAUCUUUGCAUAAGGGAAGUAAUGGAAGGAGAGAAAGGGAAAGAAAUCAAGAACAAUGCAAGGAAAUGGAAGAAGUUAUCCAAAGAGGCAAUUGAUGAAGGUGGAACUUCAGACAGAAACAUAGAUGAAUUUGUGGCUACAUUAGUUAAAUCCUGAUGUUGUUUCACGUUCAACAACGUCCAAAGUUCUCUUCAUUGUAUGUCUGGAUUAUUAGCUAGAAGUGUUCGG
rnacentral:misc_RNA from 1 species